GUCUACGCCCAUACCACCCUGAACACACCAAAUCUUGUCUGAUCUAGGAAGUUAAGCAGGGUUGGGCCUGGUUAGUACUUGGAUGGGAGAGAGGAGACCACAUCCUCUCCU
rfam:Cricetulus griseus cell line CHO-K1, whole genome shotgun sequence.